ACUUUGCAUUCAUAUUGGU
rnacentral:miRNA from 1 species